AUGGCAACUUCCACUCUGAAACCAGGUGUGCCUGUCACUCUGCAAGAGCUAGCGCCCUCCUCGGAGAUGUUCAAGCAAGGGGCGUCCCUCCGGGUAACAGGAAUCCUCCAGUCAUAUGACGUCGACUCUGCGGUCGCCGUUAUUCAGGACGGCAGCGCAAGGUUGAGGAUCGACACCCAACACCUGAGGGACAUAAGUUUUCGCAGCGGUUCUGCUUUCCAGUUCAUCGGCGAGCUCCUGAUUCGGCCAAACGACGACGUAAUUCUCUGUCCUUCUCCAGCUUUUGGCAGUCUAAUAUCAGUCUAUCAAUGCUGCAUCAAAUUUGUUGCUUACAUCCUGCAGGUGAUUUUGCAAGCACGUGUGGGCAGGAACGUCGAUGGUCUUGACCUGAACCUUUACCAGCAGUCUUUGAUCAUCCGGCGGCAGCAUGAAGCCAAACUGUUGAGCUCCAGUAGGGUGUGA
rnacentral:rRNA from 1 species